rnacentral:rRNA from 1 species
AUUGUAACCUUGGGGUUGGCUCUUGUCUAUGUUUCUUGGAACAGGACGUCACAGAGGGUGAGAAUCCCGUGCGAUGAGAUGCCCAAUCCUAUGUAAGGUGCUUUCGAAGAGUCGAGUUGUUUGGGAAUGCAGCUCUAAGUGGGUGGUAAAUUCCAUCUAAAGCUAAAUAUUGGCGAGAGACCGAUAGCGAACAAGUACAGUGAUGGAAAGAUGAAAAGAACUUUGAAAAGAGAGUGAAAAAGUACGUGAAAUUGUUGAAAGGGAAGGGUUUGAGAUCAGACUCGAUAUUUUGUGAGCCUUGCCUUCGUGGCGGGGUGACCCGCAGCUUAUCGGGCCAGCAUCGGUUUGGGCGGUAGGAUAAUGGCGUAGGAAUGUGACUUUGCUUCGGUGAAGUGUUAUAGCCUGCGUUGAUGCUGCCUGCCUAGACCGAGGACUGCGAUUUUAUCAAGGAUGCUGGCAUAAUGAUCCCAAACCGCCCGUUGA